rnacentral:rRNA from 2 species
AAGAGCUCAUCAUUGGAAUCUGGCAGCGUUGCGCUGUCCGAGUUGUAGAUGAGAAGAGUAGGACAUCUGGACUGCAUGGUGUCCAAGUACAAUAGGCCGUCAGUGGGACAUCAUAGAGGGUGACAAUCCCGUCCUUGACACCAAUGUACGAGUCCUUUACGAUGCCUAUCUCGGAGAGUCGAGCAGUUUGGGAUUUGCUGCUUAAACACGGGAGGUAGAUUCCUUCCAAAGCUAAAUACAGGCAAGAGACCGAUAGUGAACAAGUACCGCAAGGGAAAGAUGAAAUAGAACUCUGUGAAGGGAGUCAAAAAGACGUGAAAUUGUUGCGAGAGAAGCGAUUCAAGUCAGCGUAGCUGGGCCCAUCAAGCCUCGCGCUUUGGACCAGCUUUGCCAGCGGUCUUGUCCCCAGAGACUUGACUAAGGUGCCCUGCCCGGUCUAACGGACAGACCUCCCCGCUGGGGAGGCCAGUGGCAUGGCUGGUGGAAUGGCUUGCAAUCGACCCGUCUUGAAACACGGACCAAGGAGUCUAACAUGUACGCGAGUAUAAGGGUGGCAAACCCGUAUGCGCAAAGAAAGUGAUAGCCUAUGGCUGAGAAUGACCUGACGACCAGACAAGAAACAUCAUGUCCCUCGUACGGUCAUUGCCCAAGUCCCAUGGUCAGAUCCCAUGGACAUGGAGUUGGAGCGUGCAUGCUAGGACCCGAAAGAUGGUGAACUAUGCCUGGACAAAGCGAAGCCAAAGGAAACUCUGGUGGAGGCUUGUAGCGAUUCUGACGUGCAAAUCGAUCGUCUGAUCUGGGUAUA